AGAUUGAUGUAUUGAAUCCCCAGGUAUGCUAUUUAAUUCUUUAUCUUUAAAUUUUGGCAGUGGAGAAAGAAUGGGGAUUAGGGGGGAUUUUGAGUUGUUAGCUUAGGCCUGAAAUGUCUCGAAUCUGCUUUAUUAGUGUUGUGCAGCAUUUCAAACAAUGCUUGUUUCCUUCUUCCAUGUAGGCUUUUGGCAAUAAUCACUUACUAGUACUGCAGACAAAUUUUCUACUAAGAUAACUACGUGCUUCUUCUGAAAAUGAAUUGUCAAUCUACUUGCUGAUCAUUUUGUCUAGCUUGCUUUCUUGAUCUUGGAGUGUCAAAGACCUUGCCAUUUUAUGACAGCAGAUGAAAUAGAGCGUUGAAUAAUUUCGUUUUCCAUAUAUGGUAGCACCACUUGGAACCUUGGAAAUGUGUCUCCAUAGUAUAUAAGACGUUUAACACAAUGUGUCUUCCUUUUAGUCGUGCUUUGUUGCUAAUUAUCAUGGCCAAUUUUAACUUUCAU
rnacentral:misc_RNA from 1 species